rnacentral:lncRNA from 1 species
GGACUUCAGGCCUUUUUGUGUCCUGUUUGCUAAAGGCAUGCGGGCUACAGCAUUCAAGAGAGGGAGUCGUUAACAAAGGGAAAGAGAUAAAUGUAAAUAAGCUCACAUUUACAGAAUGAGCGGUUUGCAGUAAAAAGCUGCGGCAGCCCAGAGUCUGCUACUUUAGGCUGGGCUAACCUUUCCCUGUAAAAAAAAAAAAAAAAAAAAAAAAAAAAAAAUGGAUAAAAAUAUGCACUUCCAAAGGGCGAGUUGCCCAUUUACAUGUUUAUUAGCUAAUUAUCUACAGGCAUCAGCACAUUCUCUCAUCUAGCACACUCUUUCUUGGGAUGAAAAGUUGCACUCUUGCCAAGAAGGAUGAGUUCACCUGAUAAACUUGAUGGCAUCUACAUUCUAAAGUCUCUCCUGCCAAUCAGAGAUGGGAAUGAAAGCCUUAUUGGAACAAUCAGGCCAGUCUUUCAGAAUGUGUGCUCUCUGCAAGUUAAAGGGAGAACCAGGAAGAUGCCUCACAGAAACAUUCAGGCCAAGCUUAGCUAAAGCUUGAUCUAUUCAAUUGCCUUUUGGGAAAAUGCAGUGAGAAUUGUUGCCCUUGCUGUGGAAGACAGAUUUCUGGAGGAGUGUGAAAAUCAACUCUCCUUAAUAUUAAGGACCCUGCCCAAUGGUAACAGUUGUUGCCAAGAAAAGAAAAAAAGAAAAAAAAAAGACCCAAUCACCCAUUGGAGGAAAUCUCUAACUACAGUGCCUCCAGGAAACUCAUUGGUUAUUCCAGUCUUAGAUAAAAUUGGUGCCAGGAUU